rnacentral:rRNA from 1 species
AGUGAACGCUGGCGGUAGGCCUAACACAUGCAAGUCGAACGGCAGCACAGUAAGAGCUUGCUCUUACGGGUGGCGAGUGGCGGACGGGUGAGGAAUAUAUCGGAAUUUACUUUUUCGUGGGGGAUAACGUAGGGAAACUUACGCUAAUACCGCAUACGACCUACGGGUGAAAGCAGUGGAUCUUCGGACCUUGCGCGAUUGAAUGAGCCGAUGUCGGAUUAGCUAGUUGGCGGGGUAAAGGCCCACCAAGGCGACGAUCCGUAGCUGGUCUGAGAGGAUGAUAGGCCACACGGGAACUGAGACACGGUCCAGACUCCUACGGGAGGCAGCAGUGGGGAAUAUUGGACAAUGGGCGCAAGCCUGAUCCAGCCAUACCGCGUGGGUGAAGAAGGCCUUCGGGUUGUAAAGCCCUUUUGUUGGGAAAGAAAAGCAGCAGGUUAAUACCCCGCUGUUCUGACGGUACCCAAAGAAUAAGCACCGGCUAACUUCGUG